rnacentral:rRNA from 1 species
AUGCCAUGUUCAGGAGAAAGAGAGAUGAACAGACGGGUGGGAAAAUCAUUGUUCUACCAUUCAAAAUAUACUAACACAGCUCUGUGCACACCUCUCAUUCUGGCAAAUGAUGGCCCAAGACAUUGUAUUUAUUUAUUAUCUGCAGCAAUUGGUGAAUUGUCCUAUAUGAGGACAAAGAUAAGAGGCACCCAAAAAAAGAUAAAAACUGGGCAAAUCAACAUGACUCAGACAUCCAAGGAAGGAAUUAGCAGCAUUAGCUCUCAAGCCUGGCAGGGCGAAAGCUCUUAUGCGGCAUCUGCGAAUGUUUUGAGAAACAAGCCUUUGUUCAAUCAUCAUUGCCAUUAUUUUCCUCAAUUUAAAAUCAGCAACACUGAAUACUCACGUCAAGCAAGAAAUGUAAUCACACAAAACAGCCCUGUGUACCGCCUGAAUCACAACCACGGGUUCUUAUCGAAUGUGAAAAUCUCUAUCAGCACAAUGUAG